rnacentral:rRNA from 1 species
UCGGCGUGGAUUAGGCAUGCAAGUCGAACGAGAAUCCAUUGAUUCAAUCUUUCGGGAGAGAANCGAUGGAGGAGAGUGGCGAAAGGGUGAGUAACGCGUGAGCAACCUACCCUUAAGUUUGGGAUAACCUACCGAAAGGUGGGCUAAUACCGGAUGUGGUUCCCCGUUUCAAUUCGGGGAAAUCAAAGGUGGGGAUCCUUCGGGACCUGCCGCUUAAGGAGGGGCUCGCGUCCUAUCAGCUUGUUGGUGAGGUAAUGGCUCACCAAGGCUUACGGGUAGCUGGUCUGAGAGGAUGGUCAGCCACACUGGGACUGAGACACUGCCCAGACUCCUACGGGAGGCUGCAGUCGAGAAUCAUUCGCAAUGCCCGAAAGGA